rnacentral:rRNA from 1 species
UACGGAGGGUGCAAGCGUUAUCCGGAAUCACUGGGUUUAAAGGGUGCGUCGGCGGUGGUGUAAGUCAAUUGGGAAAUUCCCUCGUUUAACGGGUGGGACUGCGAUUGAUUCUGCAUCACUUGCAUCAGGAUGAGGUAGGCGGAAUGUGGCAUGUAGCGGUGAAAUGCUUAGAUAUGCCAUUGACCACCGAUUGCGAAGGCAGCUUACUGGCCCUGUAUUUACGCUGAGGCCCGAAAGCGUGGGGAGCUAACAGG